rnacentral:rRNA from 1 species
GACGAACGCUGGCGGCGUGCUUAACACAUGCAAGUCGAACGGAAAGGCCCUGCUUUUGUGGGGUGCUCGAGUGGCGAACGGGUGAGUAACACGUGAGUAACCUGCCCUUGACUUUGGGAUAACUUCAGGAAACUGGGGCUAAUACCGGAUAGGAGCUCCUGCUGCAUGGUGGGGGUUGGAAAGUUUCGGCGGUUGGGGAUGGACUCGCGGCUUAUCAGCUUGUUGGUGGGGUAGUGGCUUACCAAGGCUUUGACGGGUAGCCGGGCUGAGAGGGUGACCGGCCACAUUGGGACUGAGAUACGGCACGGACUCCUACGGGAGGCAGCAGUGGGGAAUAUUGCACUAUGGGCGGAAGCCUGAUGCAGCAACGCCGCGUGGGGGAUGACGGCCUUCGGGUUGUAUACCGCUUUCGCCUGUGACGAAGCGUGAGUGACGGUAAUGGGUAAAGAAGCACCGGCUAACUACGUG